UACUCUGUGGGUUUGGCCAUAAAAUUUUUAAAAAAUGAUGUUGUCAUUUGCUUGUGGGAGUACUUACGCCAUUUCUUUGCUAGUAUGAACCUGCUGAGCUGUUUGUGUAUCCUACAUGAACAAUCUCCACCUCCCAAUCUAUGUAUAUUGCCACUUGAUUAUCAUUUUAAGUCUCAAUCCCAUUUUUUUGAUCUUUUAAAUUAUAUUUAUUUUUUCCAUUAGAGUUGGUUUACAGUGUUCUGUCAGUUUCUUACUGUACAGCACAGUGACCCAGUCACACACACAUAUAUACAUUCUUUUCCUCAUUUUAUCCUCCAUCAUGCUCCAUCACAAGUGACUAGUUAUAGUUCCUAGUGCUAUACAGCAGGAUCUCAUUACUUAUCCAUUCCAGAUGCAAUCGUUUGCAUCUGUUAACCACAGCUUCCAGCUCAUCCCACUCCUUCCUCCUCCCCUUUGGUAACCAUAGUUCUGUUCUCCAAGUUCAGGAGUUUCUUUUCUGUGGAAAGCUUUAUUUGUGCCAUAUAUUAGUUUCCAGAUAUGUUUUUUUGACUGAUUUUUGCUUAAACAAUUGAAUACUUUGAGGAGUUCCCCUCGUGGCGCAGUGGUUAACGAAUUCGACUAGGAACCAUGAGGUUGCAGGUUCGGUCCCUGCCCUUGCUCAGUGGGUUAACGAUCCGGCGUUGCCGUGAGCUGUGGUGUAGAUUGCAGACACGGCUCGGAUCCUGCGUUGUUUUGGCUCUGGCGUAGGCCAGUGGCUACAGCUCCGAUUAGACCCCUAGCCUGGGAACCUCCAUAUGCUGCAGGAGCGGCCCAAGAAAUAGCAAAAAAAAAAAAGCAAUUGAAUACUUUGAAAUAUGACUAUCGAAAAGUAUUUCAAGGGAGUUCCCUGGGGGUCUAGUGGAUAGGAUUUGAUGCUUUCACCACUGUGGCCCAGGUUCACUCCCUGGUCUGGGAAAUGAGAUCCCACAUCAAGGUGCUGCACACAAAGUUCUCCCCCAAAAAAGUAUUUCAAAAAAUGUCCAUAAAUGUCUAAAUUGUGCUACCAAAUUAUGAAUUACCAAGUAUGAUUACAGUUGGGAAAAUCAUAGCCUGCUAGGCCAUCAAAAAUCACUGUCUUUUAAUAUCAUACUUUCCAAGUAUGGAAAAUCUAAAAAAAAAAAAGAAAAUGUGUGUUUGUAAUAACCAAAGACGAAGGUGAAGAUGGUUUCGCUCUCUCCCUGACUCCUGCCAAGUAUCUGUCAAUCCUAAAUCAGAUUAUUAGGCAUGUGAUGGGUCUUUCAAGCAAAGGAUCAUUAGUGCCAUCAUAUAAAAGAUAUUAAAUAACAUAAGGGCUAAAGAAGACAAUAGUUAUCUAAAAUGUCAGUAAAAGUGCCACAAGAAGAUGGCACUGUUAGAGUUAUAUACUUCUUCUGAAAUCAGACUCUGGCCACUUACUCACUCAAGCAAAAAAUGGUAAUCUGGAGAUUAUCAUAUAUCACUUAAUUGGGGACUAUAAAUAUUCAAUUGAUAAUAUUAUAGCAAUUAGAAUUUGUAUCAAAUUCUCCUCUUGAUCUCAGUUAAGUUCCUCAUAAUUCAUACUUACAUUUUCUUCUUCUUCACUUUUUUUUUUUUUAAUUUUAUGGCUGCACCCAUAUCAUAUGGAAGUUUCUAGGCCAGGGAUUGAAUCCAAUCUGCAGCUGCAACCUACACUACUGCUGAGACAAUGCCAGAUCCUUUAACCCACUACACCAGGCUAGGGAUCAAAUCCAUGCCUCCACAGAGACCAAGAUCCUGCAGUCAUAUACUUAACCCACUGCACCCACAGUGGGAGUGUCCUCGAUCUUCUGUUUACUUACUUUAAACCAGAAUCCCUGCUUUACUCUUGCCACUCUCUUCUUUACAAUUUAUAGAUUGGAGCCAGCUUCUGAGAUCCAGCCCUUGUGGCUACAUCUUGAUUUUUCUUUCUUAAUUCCUACUGCUUGGUUAGGUCCCAAACUCUUCCACUCCUAACAGAACAUUCCCUUUCACAUUUUAUAGACCCCUCUGAUGCCAAACAUUUGCCUGGAAAUCAUCCGAUUCCUGUUUCCUAUAGUUUAACCCAUUUCCUGGUACUUAGUCCUCUCAAGCCUCUAGAUUUAGAUUCAUCUUUUUACCAUCUCCAGUCAGACACUGUGCCAGAUAAUAGCACUUUACUCUUUGUCUGAUUAGAUCAUGAACUAUAGGAUACUGGACCCUGCUGGCCCUGGCUUCUGCCAACAUGAACUAGGUAACAAAUAUUUUAGCCUAAAGUGAUAUUGCCUAGAAACUCCCAAUAAUAAUAGAUGGUUAUGUUGGGUGUUUUAUGUAUGGCAGGCUCUGCUCUAAAGACUUAAUCACCAAAAAAAGCCCCCAGAAUAGAUACCAUCAAAAUUACAUUUUCCAGUUGAGAAAAUGGAGGUACCAAAAUGUCAAGAAACUUCCUUUAGUUCACACACCUAAAAAGUGGUAAAGCUAAGCUUACACUCAGAAAGUGAGACCCCACAGUCUUUGGAAUUAAUUGGCUUUUUAAAGAACCAUGAGUUAGGCUUUUGUGGUCACAUCAAAGGGACCUCUGCUUUGCUGUGGGUCCAUGUGUGUAUGCACCUGGCAGGAGGAUUUGUUCUUUUUAAGCAUGUGGUCACAUUCAUAAUCAAGAGAGGGAAUUUGAAUCAUCUAGGGAGAUUUUGUAAACUAGUUGUACUUGUUCUCACCCCAGUUGUGGUAAGGUCUAUAGAGAUGGCUCCUGUAAACAUAAUCUGGAAGAUCCCUCAUGUGAUUUUUAUAUGCUUACAUACCAAGACUCCUACAUUUGGAAGGUAGAUGGAUCUUUGAGCAUUACUCAGCAAUUUUUAGAACAUCUGUACCAUCAUUGCUCAGCAUAUAUUUGGGGAUUUUUUUUGCUAGAGGAACUGCAUACAUUUUGGAAAUGAAUUUGCUCAAAAAGCCUCAGCAUUGGGGGGAUUACCUCUAGACUCACUUAGAAAAAAGGCUGUAGAGUACAUGGCUUUUCUCCCCUGACCCAACUCCUUUCUGCCAUUUAAUUACCUCCUACUUCACUACAACCUGGUCUCUUCUCUUGGACUAGCUUUCUUCUUCUCAAAUUGAAUUUCUACCAAGUUCUAACCAGAGGGUGCUUCUUCCCCUAAGUAUGGAAAACUGUGAAUUCCUAUCUGAAGAACAUCUGCCUCCUCCCUCUCUCUUAAGAUACGCCUUACUUCUAACUCAUUGAUGAAUUCCAUGAAUCCCACGUUGUAAAAAUCUCAUGUUGGCAAUUUCCUUCAGUUUCCAGUGCCUCUAUCCAUGUUCAGGUCUCCUUGCCUUUCUUUGGGAUAAUGCCAAUAGUUUCUUACUGAUCUCCUUGCCUCCAUUUUCUCCCUGCUGAGAUUUAUCAUGCUCUCUGUUGCUGGGUGCAUCUUCCUAAAUCACUUCCCAGAUUCCACCCUACUUUCUGCCCAGAGGUUUACUGUGCCCUAUCUCCUACUUCCAAAAGCAUCAAGUCUGAAGAAAGCUAUUCACAAUGUUAUCUGCAAAGAAGUUUUAAUCCAGGUUAAACUGCUCCCAUCAUUUGUGAGACAUUUUCAGUUUCUCUGGACAAUGCAUCACCCUCUAUAAUAAGCUUUAUUGCCUUACCACUGAGACUUGAGUUAUUCUGUUUUGUCUUAGAAUAGAUGUAUUUUCUCUCCACUUACUGCAUUCGAAGUUCAUCCAUCCUGUAGGAACGAGUUCACGUACUGCCUUAGACAUGAAGCUUCCUCUGAUCUUCCAGGGAGAAUAACCUCUCCCUAAACUAGAAGCCAAUAUCACUUUGUUUAUUAGCACAUUAUCAAUAGUAGCAGCUGAUAUGUAUUGGAAGAUUAUUGUGAUCCAGGUAUUGAAUUAAAUUCUUCACAUGCAUGACCCUGUUUCAUAAUGCAAAACUACGAAGUUACAACCAUUUUACAAAUAAAGACUUUGAAGCUGAGAAAGGUAAAGUAAUUUACCCAGAGUCAAACUGGAAGUGGCAGAACCUGUAUUCAAACUCCUACCUGACAGCUGGGUGAAUUCAUUCCAACUUUACUUAUCCUUAGGGCUGUCUGGUACCAUGCAUAAUAUGUUGUGGGUGCACAGUGAAAUAGGCAGGAAAGAGAGUUCCACGGCAGCUUCCACUCCAUGCUUGGGAGUGACCCAAGUAAGGAAGUCCUUGACACUCAAGAUCCAGAGGCCAUUAGAGAGUAACAACAAUUAUCAAGGAAAAUAGUAAAUAAAUAUCUUUCCUGAAAUAGAAUCUACCUAACUAGGAGAGCCAAUUAAAAAGAAGAGGGCAAUGUAAAAAUGAGCGAUACAGAGAGGAGACAACUACACAAAAAGAUGAAAGACUCUCAGCAGAAGAGAGAAAAAAACUGUCCUUUUCAUUUGGCAAAGCAUUAAACUGAUUUGUUAACUUGGUAGUCACUGAGUUUCAGAUCUUGGAAUCACAGUAUUUGUUGGAUACUUGAACUAUAUAAUGAUUCCAGGAAUCUGGAAUUCCUGUCAUGGCACAGUGGAAACAAAUCUGACUAGGAACCAUGAGGUUAUGGGUUCGAUCCCUGGCCUUGCUCAGUGGGUUGCUGAGAGCUGUGGUGUACAUCACAAAUGCGGCUCGGAUCUGGCGUUGCUGUGGCAUAGGCCGGAGGCUACAGCUCCAAUUCGACCCCU
rnacentral:lncRNA from 1 species